AUGCAGACUCCCUACCCCUGUCCGAGGCUGUCGGUGCUAAGGCAGCCCGCACCACCUUGGGCACCAUCAGAGUUCAGAGCCGAGUCAUGUGCAGAUGGACCUUCACUGACUGGCAUGUACGAUCUGAUAGCUGUGGUGAGACACAAUGGGGAUACCCCAGAUUCGGGACACUACAUUGCUUGGGUCAAGCAAGAGGGUGAGUUGUGGAUUCAGUAUGACGAUGCCAUGGCAACCAUGCAUAUUAGUCAUGAAGUGUUGAACUUGUGUGGAGGAGUGUUGAACUUGUGUGGAGGAGGUCAGAUUGCGUAUCUGUGCCUAUACAGAGCUCGCGUUGUUCAAGGUUGUCUGGAGUCAGCUCGUGCCUAG
rnacentral:rRNA from 1 species